rnacentral:rRNA from 1 species
AACGAACGCUGGCGGCAUGCCUAACACAUGCAAGUCGAACGAGACCUUCGUGUCUAGUUGCGCACGGGUGCGUAACGCGUGGGAACCUGCCCUUAGGUUCGGAAUAACUCCCCGAAAGGGGUGCUAAUACCGGAUAAUUUCUUCGGACCAAAGAUUUAUCGCCUUUGGAUGGGCCCGCGUUGGAUUAGCUAGUUGGUAGGGUAAAAGCCUACCAAGGCGACGAUCCAUAGCUGGUCUGAGAGGAUGAUCAGCGACACUGGGACUGAGACACGGCCGAGACUCCUACGGGAGGCAGCAGUGGGGAAUAUUGGACAAUGGGCGAAAGGCUGAACCAGCAAUGCCGGGUGAGUGAUGAAGGCCUUAGGGUAGUAAAGCUCUUUUACACGGGAUGAUAAUGACAGUACCGGGAGAAUAAGCACCGGCUAACUCCGUG